rnacentral:lncRNA from 10 species
AGAUGGAGUCUACGUUGCCCAGGCUGGUUUUGAACUACUGGGCUCAAGCGAUCCUCCCCCCUCAGCCUAUUGAGCAGCUGAGACUAUAGUGUUUGAACUCACCAUAAGACUGACACACCACGUGCACCAGGGGAUAAGACUUCCAGAGGACUCGGUCACACCAGGAAGACACUUUCUGUUCACCUUUUGGGAACAGACACCAGCGGGGAGGAGAUGGAGGGCAGGGAAGGUGUCUAUGAAGAGGACUCACCCCUGUCGCUUUCUGCUUGGUGUAGGCGUAUUUGUCCCGAGUCAGUCUCUCAAAACGGUCAGUGGUUCCCAAAGGGAGUUCCCUGGACCAGCAGCUGCACAUCACCUGGGAACUUCAUGGAAGGGCAGAUUCUCAGCCCCACCCCAGACCUACUGAAUCUGAAAUCCUGGGAUGGGGCCCAGUAAUCUGUGUUUGACAAGCCCUCCAGUGUCAGGGGUGGGCAAAUGCUGGCUCACUGCCAGCUACAAAUGGUUUUACAUUUGUAAAUGGUUGGAAACAAAUCAAAAGAAAAACCAUCUUUUGUCAUUCAUGAAAAUACGAAAUUCAAAUUUCAGUGUUCGUAAAGAACACGUUACUGGAACACAGCCAUGCCUAUUGACUUCUGGAUUGUCUGUAGCUGCUUUCAGACUACGAUGGCAGAGCUGAAGCAUUGUGACAGUUGUGUGGCCCAAAGAGCCUAGAAUAUUCACCAUCUGGCCUUCUAUGGAAAACGCUUGUUAACCCCUGCUCUAGGUGAUUCUGACACAUGCAGGUGAGAACCUGCUCUGUCCAAUACAGGCACAGGCCACAUGUGACUAUCAAACACCUGAAAUGUGGCUGGUACAAAAUGAGACAGGUUGUGAGUGUAAAAUACACAUUGGAAUUGUGGCCUUGGUAAGAAACACAGACUGUAAAAUAUCUAAUAACCUUUUACAUUAAAUAUCUAUUGAAAUAAUUGUAUUUUGGAUGUAUGAAAUUCAAUAAAAUCUAUUAUUGAAAUUAAUUUCACUUGUUUUCUUUUUAAUGUGGCUACUAGAAAAUUUGAUCUAUUGAUUGUAAUAAAUCAAAUUGUAAUCUAUUUUGAUCAUAAAUCUAUUUAUUUAUGAUCUAUUUGGCUCCCAUCAUUUUCUUUUCUUCCUUUCUUUCUUUUUUUUUUUUUUUUUUUUGGAGACAGAGUCUCACUCUGUCUCCCAGGCUGGAGUGCAGUGGCGCGAUCUCUGCUUACUGCAACCUCCGUCUCCCAGGUUCAAGCAAUUCUCCUGUCUCUGCCUCAGGAGUAGCUGGGACUACAGGCACCCACCACCACACCCAGCUAAUUUUUUGUAUUUUAGUAGAGACGAGGUUUCACCGUGUUGCCCAGGUUGGUCUCAAACUACUGAGCUCUGGCAAUCUGCCUGCCUCAGCCUCCCAAAGUGCUAGGAUUACAGGCGUGAGCCACGGCACCCG